GGUCUUAUGGCGCAAUUGGUUAGCGCGUCCGGCUGUUAAACUUUAUUCAAAUGCGCUUUCAACGUAAGAAAUUUGUUGAAAGGGAACAAAUGAAAAGAAUGAAGUAUGGCACCGGGAGGUCGAAAGUUCGAGCCUUUCUAGGACCG